UGUGGUAUAUUGGACAAUGGGGGGAACCCUGAUCCAGCCAUGCCGCGUGUGUGAAGAAGGCCCUAUGGUUGUAAAGCACUUUAAGCGAGGAGGAGGGUACUGGUAUUAAUACUACCAGGUACUGGACGUUACUCGCAGAAUAAGCACCGGCUAACUCUGUGCCAGCAGCCGCGGUAAUACAGAGGGUGCGAGCGUUAAUCGGAUUUACUGGGCGUAAAGCGUGCGUAGGCGGCUAAUUGAGUCGGAUGUGAAAUCCCCUCGCUUAACUUAGGAAUUGCAUUGGAUACUGGUUAGCUAGAGUGUGGGGGAGGAGGGUAGAAUUGCAGGUGUAGCGGAGAAAUGCGUAGAGAUCUGGAGGAAUACCGAUGGCGAAGGCAGCCAUCUGGACUAACACUGACGCUGAAGUACGAAAGCAUGGGGAGCAAACAGG
rnacentral:rRNA from 1 species